AGAGAGAGACAUGCGCGCAUAUCAAUAAGCGGAGGAAAAGAAACUAACAAGGAUUCCCCUAGUAACGGCGAGUGAAGCGGGAAGAGCUCAAAUUUGAAAUCUUAAAGGGUUUCCCUUUACGAAUUGUAGUUUAAAGAAGUGUUUUCUGUUGAGGUUUUGGUAAAAGUUCUUUGGAAUAGGACAUCAUAGAGGGUGAGAAUCCCGUAUUUGACCUUUACUUUCAACUGUGUGAUACACUUUCAAAGAGUCGGAUUGUUUGGGAAUGCAGUCCAAAAUGGGUGGUAAAUUUCAUCUAAAGCUAAAUAUUGGCGAGAGACCGAUAGCGAACAAGUACCGUGAGGGAAAGAUGAAAAGAACUUUGAAAAGAGAGUUAAACAGUACGUGAAAUUGUCAAAAGGGAAGCGUUUGACACCAGUGUUGUUUUUCUGAAAAUCAAUUAAAGAACUGUUUAUGCUAAGUUGUUUAGACUUUAUCAGCUAACUGUUUAGUUUUGAGCUUUUCUUUAAUGCACUUUUCAGUUAACAAGUCAACAUCAAUUUCUUUUGCUGUAAAAAAGCUUGAGGAAGGUGGCUUGAGAUUCGUCUUAAGUGUUUAUAGCCUCUUGCCUAUGCAGUCGGAGAGAUUGAGGUCUGCAGCGUAGAUCCUUCGGGGCUAAAUGCAUUUGUGCUAAGUUAUAGCAUUUUAUAGACAACUUGUUGACUAUGAUUUGUCUUGUAGCUUACUCGCUUAUGUUAUUUUACCUACGCUUAGGAUGUUGAACGCAUGUCUCUCUCU
rnacentral:rRNA from 1 species